UAAAUUAUUAUAAGUUAUAAUCUUUAAAAUUAAAAAUUUUGGCGGUAUUUUAGUCUAUUCAGAGGAACCUGUUCUAUAAUUGAUAAUCCACGAUUUAUAAUACUUAUUUUAAAUAAUUUAUAUAUCGUCGUAGUUGAAUAUUUUAUAAGAAAUAUAAUAUUCAUAAUUUUUUAUUAAAAAAUAAAUCAGAUCAAGGUGUAGUUUAUAAAUAAGAAGAAAUGGGUUACAAUAAUAUUAAUUUUGGUAUUAAAAUUUAAAAAUUUUAAUUAAAUUGGAUUUGAAAGUAAUAUAAAUUAAUUAAUUUAUAUAAUUUAAGCUCUAAAAUAUGUACACAUCGUCCGUC
rnacentral:rRNA from 1 species